rnacentral:rRNA from 1 species
CAGUCGCCGCGGUAAAACGUAGGGUGCAAGCGUUAAUCGGAAUUACUGGGCGUAAAGCGUGCGCAGGCGGUUUGUUAAGACAGAUGUGAAAUCCCCGGGCUCAACCUGGGAACUGCAUUUGUGACUGGCAGGCUAGAGUAUGGCAGAGGGGGGUGGAAUUCCGCGUAGCAGUGAAAUGCGUAGAUAUGCGGAGGAACACCGAUGGCGAAGGCAGCCCCCUGGGCCAAUACUGACGCUCAUGCACGAAAGCGUGGGGAGCAAACAGGAUUAGAGACCCCCGUAGUCCCUGUCUCUUAUACAC